UAGUCAAUGAACUUGUAUAAGUAUAUAUUUUGAAAAUAUAAUAAAGAGAUAUUAAAUCUCUAUUGACU
rnacentral:tRNA from 1 species